rnacentral:piRNA from 1 species
GUGCAGAUAUACAUGGAAGCAGA